rnacentral:misc_RNA from 1 species
UGAUUGAGAUUUGAGUAUGAAAUGUUGGAAUCAAUAUUUAUAUGGAGAUAUAAAUUGGAAAUUUGUGUAUAUGUUAAUAUAAUUAUUGAUUUGUGGAUUGAGCAUUGUGAUAGGGGUUCAAUUUAAUUUAAAGAGGAAAUACUGUCAAAUUUUUGUUAGAUAUUAAUGCAAAGCAUGGUGUUAUUUUUGAGUAAUUUUUAAACCAAAAAUGAAAAUUUUAGUAUGAUAUUUUUUCACUCCAAACCAAACUAUUUGUAUGUAAAAACUCAAAUCAAAUGAAACUAAAAGGUCAUAUUUUAGUUCAUAUUUU